GUUUUUUCUCAGGCAGCAAUGUCUGAGAAACGUUCACUGUGAACAAAUCAGGACGCUUAGAGUAUGGUUACAAGAAUGACUCAGCGCAGUAUGAAUUUUUUGUUUUCUUCGGAAAACAAGCUCAACGAGAGCCAUCGGGGGUAGAUCUAUCUCAUGACGAGUGGUGGAAUACGGUGACUCAUGAGAGAGACACGGAGGCGAAGGCGUCUACCUAGAGGGUUUCUGUCGAUCAAGGGCGAGAGUAGGAGUAUCCAACAGGAUUAGAGACCCUGGUAGUUCCUACUAUAAACGAUGCCGACAGGAGUUUGUCAUUUAAUAAUGGCAGAAUCUUUGGAGAAAUCAUAGUUCUUGGGCUCUGGGGGAACUACGACCGCAAGGCUGAAACUUGAAGGAAUUGACGGAAGGGCACACCAGGGGUGGAGCCUGUGGCUUAAUUUGAAUCAACACGGGGAAACUUACCAGGACCAGAUGUUUUUUAUGACUGACAGGCUUUGGGUCUUUCAGGAUAUGAUUUUUGGUGGUGCAUGGCCGUUGGUGGUGCGUGGGUUGACCUGUCUAGCGUUGAUUCAGCUAACGAGCGAGAUUAUCGCCAAUUAUAUACUACGCCUAGGUUUCUAGGUUGCA
rnacentral:rRNA from 1 species